AGCACCAGGUCACUUAAAUUCAGGCUCCUCCUCAGGCUUGAAGAGAUUUCAGGAGCGGUGACUCUCAUCUGCUCGAAGAUGAGCCCACUGUGGACCUUCCUCUUCGUGCUGUCAGCUCCCAGCGGGGUCCUGUCCCAGGUGCAGCUGCAGGAGUCGGGACCCAGCCUGGUGAAGCCCUCACAGACCCUCUCCCUCACCUGCGCUGUCUCUGGAUUCUCAUUAAGCAGCAAUAGUAUAGCCUGGAUCCGCCAGGCUCCAGGGAAGGCGCUGGAGUGGGUUGGUGGAAUAGGUUAUAGUGGAAGCACAGGCUAUAACCCAGCCCUGAAAUCCCGGCUCAGCAUCACCAGGGACACCUCCAAGAGCCAAGUCUCUCUCUCACUGAGCAGCGUGACACCUGAGGACACGGCCGUGUAUUACUGUGCAAAGGACACAGUGAGGGGAAUCUGUAGUAGCCUUGGGGUCCGCAGUGUCCACACGCAGGGUGGGGGUCCUGAGGUUCACAAGCUCCUGCAGACACUGAGUUAUGCGCAGGACAGUGUGGGACAGCCCACUGGGCAACCUUCCUGGCAGGUGGAGGGGGACCACAGGAGGGGCUGA